UACAGAGGUGGCAAGCGUUGUCCGGAUUUACUGGGCGUAAAGAGCGCGCAGGCGGUCGGAUAAGUCGAAUGUGAAAGCCCCCGGCUCAACUGGGGAGGGUCAUUCGAUACUGUUCGACUCGAAGGCAGGAGAGGGAAGUGGAAUUCCCGGUGUAGUGGUGAAAUGCGUAGAUAUCGGGAGGAACACCAGUGGCGAAGGCGACUUCCUGGCCUGUUCUUGACGCUGAGGCGCGAAAGCUAGGGGAGCAAACGGG
rnacentral:rRNA from 1 species